GGAUGCUUAGACACUUUACUUUUUUUCCUCAUUGGAAAACAAACUUUUCAACAUUGUAUGGCAGCGGAUUGUUUAAUUUUGUUUACGCAAACUGUGAAGUGUCAUCUGCUAACUUAAAAUCAUUUCUAAAAUAAAUGUAUAUGUUCAUUUAGCAUAUUAAUAAUUUGUGGGGAAAUGGCAAAAAGUGAAGGAUCAAGGAGACCAUUUAAAGAAAAAAUUGUCCAGAUUUAUGAGGCUUUUUUCCAGGGUAAAGACCCAUCUUUAGAUAAUAAGAACUUUUGGGAUGAAUUCUUCCUUUUGAGGGCAAAUCUUACAUUUCUGGAAUCAAAAUUUAGAGAAAUGACAUAUGAAGAAAUUUCUAGUCUUAAGGAAACUAUAAACAAUCUGUUCUAUCAUUGUAUUCGUAUAUUAAAAGAUGGCAAUCAAAUACGUGCAAUGAAUUCUAUCCAGACUAUGUGUGCUUUGGUUCAAGGCAUUUAUGGAAAGACUCAUACCGAUUAUGGUUUUGAUGUCAUAAAUCUUUUAAUUGGCUUUUCUUCUGCUGAACACCUAAUGCAGGUAUUAAUUGAACAGUUAUCUGAUUUCCUUUGUCAUGAUUACCCUCCAGCUCUGAAAUCAUUAGUUCUGAAAUUUCUUCUUAUAUUAGUUACAGCAACUGAAAAUGUUAGCCAGAACAUGUUGCUGGAAUAUCUGAUGAUGAACAGUGCAUUUGAAGCUAUUAUACAAUUACUGAAAGAUACAAAAUCAAGACAACAUCAUGGAUAUGAUGCAGUGUUGCUUUUGACAAUACUAGUCAAUUACCGAAAGCAUGAGGCUGCAAAUCCAUAUAUUGUAAAGCUUUCCAUUAUUGAUAAUGAAAUGGCCCUUAAUGGUUUUGGUCAAGUUGUUUCUCUUGCCUUAUCUGACUUCAACAGAAAAUUUUGCCAAGAAGAAAUUGAACCUCGCAGUAGUUUCCUGUCUUCCAUUACAACAUUUGUUGAAAGUAUGUUUGUGUCAGAAGAAAGUGAAUCUGAUAGGUUUAAUAUCAAGGCAAAUAAUGCAGUGUUAUUAGCAUUAUAUGAGGCUGUCCACUUGAACCGAAAUUUCCUUAUAACUCUUACACACUGUCAAAUGGAUGGCUCAGGGCCUUUUACAUCACCAUCCCAAAUGGAAUUACUGGAUAUAAAAAACUCUGCACUGCAGGUAGAGAGUGACCUUCCACCUUCCAAUCUGCUUGUUACUUUUCUUGAAUUUUCGUCUAUUAUUAUGCUUAAUACCCGAGAUGAAUCUAAUAUGAACACAUGCAAACUGUGCUUUAUUAUUUUAACUUGCAUAACAGAGGAUCAGUAUGCAAAUUCCAUAAUUCAUGAUGUUAAUUUAGUCUACAAAGUUCAUUUGCACAGAAUGCCAAUGAGACACAGAAAAGUUGCAUCUGGUCGAAACAGUCCUUAUCGUCCUCUGGCUUGUCCAUUGUUAGAUCUAAUGGUGGAAUUUAUUUUGAGUCACAUGACAAAGUGUUUACCAUUUGAGUUAUAUUACCUUUGUUUAGGUGUUAUACAUCGGAUUCUUUGCCAUCAAAAGAAAAGUCGUGUAAGAUUACAAUAUAAUUGGAAAGAACUGUGGACAGCCUUGAUCAGUUUGGUAAAAUUUUUAAUAACACAAGAAAGUUUGCUUGCAAAAAAUUGUAAUAUAUUUCAUCUUUCUAUACAGGUGAUGAAUGUACUUAACUUAUUCAUAACCUUUGGUGAUACUUUCCUUCCUUCUCCUUCAUGCUAUGAUGAGCUUUAUUAUGAAAUUGUACGGAUGAACUAUGUAUUUGACAACUUGUAUUCACUAACUCUAAAGUAUAGUACAUGUGAUGGUGAGUGGAAAGAGUUUGCUGCAAAACUGAUGAACAGUCUUGUUAAUAUUAGGGCUAUUAUUAACCAUUUUACCCCCAAGAUUGACUCAGUGCUAGCAGAUAAUGGGCUAUCUGCCUUAACAGAAGACCAGUUUUUCUCCUUAGGUGUUGGAUGUUGUGAGGAGUAAUUAUGACACAUUGACUUUGAAGUUAUAUGACAAUCUUGAUCAGUAUGAAAGGUACACUGAAAAACCUAUAGAAACUGCAUUUUUUACACCUCUGGUCCGUAGUGUCAUUUCUGAAUUUAGAAAAUCUUCAAGUCUAAAAUCACUUAAGUUGCAAAAUGUUUUAAAGGAAUUUUCUUCUAUUGUUUAAGUUUUAAUUGGUAAAAAAUUUUAAAAGUGAAAGAAAUACUAUAUUAGUAUUCCUUCAUACUUUGAAGUAUAUUAAGUGUUCAUUUUUAUGUAUAAGGAUGUUUUAAGAAUAUUUUCAUUAUGUUUGCAUAACUGGAAAAGAGUUCAAAAUAUGUUUUCCCCUUGUUAUCAGACUUUCCCAUUAAAUAAUAUAAUUUUAUUUUUAUAA